GAGGUCCCGCCUGCCCAGUGAUUAAAUUUAACGGCCGCGGUAUCCUAACCGUGCGAAGGUAGCGUAAUCACUUGUUCUUUAAAUGAGGACUAGUAUGAACGGCAUCACGAAGGUUACACUGUCUCCUUUUUCUAAUCAGUGAAACUAAUUUCCCCGUGAAGAAGCGGGGAUACUUUAAUAAGACGAGAAGACCCUAUGGAACUUUAAACAAAGUAACAAGUACUAUCAUUUAUUAAUAAAUUUCCGAAUCAAACAUGACCUAGUAUUAUGAUUACUAGUUUUAGGUUGGGGUGACCGCGGAGAAAAACAUAACCUCCACAUUGAAAGAAAAACUCUAAGCCCAAAGCUACAACUUAAAGCAUCAACAUAUUGACAUUAAUUGACCCAAUUAAAUUGAGCAACGAACCAAGCUACCCUAGGGAUAACAGCGCAAUCCACUUUAAGAGCCCCUAUCGACAAGUGGGUUUACGACCUCGAUGUUGGAUCAGGGUUUCCCAGUGGUGCAGCCGCUACUAAAGGUUCGUUUGUUCAACGAUUAAUACCCU
rnacentral:rRNA from 1 species